CUCUCUAUCGGUUGGCGCUCUCAACUCUCUCUAAAAGUCAGUCAUUUUACUGAGCUCUCCCGUCCGCUGGCAUCUCUUCCUUCCAAGCGGCCCUCCUUUCUUUUUUUUUUCUUUUCCUUCCCUCUCUCUUGGUUGGCUUUCUCCCUUACCAACAGCAGCUCUCUCGUUCAGCGCUCUCACCUCUCUCUAAAAGUUGAUCUUUUUGCUGAGCUCUGCCUCUACCAUUGUUGCUCUUGAGCUACACCUCCAUGGGAAUCAGGAGAGAGAAUUCAAUUUUAUCACGGUGAAUGACACUAGAUCCAAUAGAUGGCACGCGAGGGUUUGUAAACGAAAGUCAGACCGCCUUAUAUGUGGCAAUUGAACUGAAAUGAGAUGUUAGCUUUUUGGAAGUGUUCAACCGCACUCAUAAGCGUUUAGGUGGUCAUGGUGAUUUUGUAGAUAACAAGUCCAAGUCUACGAGUAAGUAUGGUGAGGAUUCAUCUUCCCAACCAAAAUUCGAUCUGCAUGCUUAGGCUGAAGUAAUUGGAGGGAUGGAGACUACACGCACUCGCGUGUAUGGGUUUGGUACUCGGGUGCAUGCUACAACCUUACUUACUGGAACGCACAGCAAUGUUGCAACAUAUGAGUCUACGUGUGGCCCUAUCAACCCAAACGUGACCAGUCCCGCAAUUGUAUUGGAAGAAAAAGUGGAACAUCUUUCAGAAAACUUGGGUAAGAUAUGUGACGAGAUACGUGGGGAGAUACGUGAAGAAAUUAAGAAUGCAAUGACGAAAAGCAUGAGUGAAUUUAUGGCACGUAUGGAAUCCAUGAUCAUGAGUACUGCGCGUUCAAAACGAGGAGAUGCGAGACCUUCAAGCUAAAAUUUGGACAAGUAAGAACACAACAUUUCAUGAUAUGAUGUUUAUUUUUCACUGCCACACUUGGAUACUUUUUAGUGUAGCUGUUUAAUAAUACAUAUAGCUUUAUUUUUAUAUGUAUUUAGCUUUUUUAGUCAUUGUGUGUUUAGGG